UGCCAAUUGCUAGUCUUGAGUAAGGACCAGU
rnacentral:piRNA from 1 species